rnacentral:antisense_RNA from 1 species
CGGGUUCCCACCGCCUGAAGGGCGAGACAAGCCCGACCUGCUACAGGCACUCGUGGGGAUGUGGAAACAGGAAGAGAACUAGAACUGGAAGUAAGGCAUUGAAGAUGUGACUGAAUUGCUGCAAUCUCAUGAUCAAAUUUGAAUGGAUGAGGAGUUGCUUUUUAGGGAUGAGCAAAGAAAGUGGCUUCUCGAGAUGGAAUCUACUGGUUGCUCCUUGAGGGCAGGACAGUUCUUAUGGCUUUAUCCGUUGCCUAAGCACAGAGAGGUCUGCGAGGUCAAAACUAUUGUCAUGAUAGCAAGAUGCCUGUCUUUUUCAUUUAUUCUCACAGUGUGCAGAGGCUACAUGAUGUGUGAUGACAUCCUCAUUGAUGUUAAUGAAUGGUGCUAUACUUGAAUUUUCUAAGGUGUCAUUAGAUGAGGUCUUGCUGUGUUGCCCAGGCUAUUCACAGCUGCCAUCAUAGUGAACUACAGCCUGAAACUCCUGGGUUCAAGAGAUCCUUCUGCCUCAGCCUCCUGAGUAGCUGGAACUAUAGGCAUGCACCACCAAGCCUGGGCUUUUAAAAAAAUUUUUAAAAGAAUUUUGAGACAGGAUCUUGCCAUGUUGCUCAGGCUAUUCUUCAACUCCUAGCCCUGAGUGAUCUUGCUUUGGGACUCUCAAAAUGUUGAGUUAAUAGGCGUGAGCCACCAUACCCAGCCAAAAAUUUUUUUAGAGAUGGGAAUGGAAUGAUCUUGAAUAGUGCUGGUGCCACCUAUGUUGUGGCAUCAUUUUGAAACCAAUCAUUCAGAGUGCUUUUUUUGGUAAGGCAUUAUUUUUUAAUGCAGGUAUGCCACUACUGGAAAAAAAAACAACAAC